rnacentral:rRNA from 1 species
AUUGAACGCUGGCGGCAGGCCUAACACAUGCAAGUCGAGCGAGCGGCGGACGGGUGAGUAAUGUCUGGGAAACUGCGUGAUGGAGGGGGAUAACUACUGGAAACGGUAUCUAAUACCGCAUACCAUCAGAUGUGCGCAGAUGGGAUUAGCUAGUAGGGGGGGUAAUGGCUCACCUCGGCGAGGAUCCCCAGCUGGUCUGAGAGGAUGACCAGCCACACUGGAACUGAGACACGGUCCAGACUCCUACGGGAGGCAGCAGUGGGGAAUAUUGCACAAUGGGCGAAAGCCUGAUGCAGCCAUGCCGCGUGUGUGAAGAAGGCCUUCGGGUUGUAAAGCACUUUCAGCGGGGAGGCGUUACCCGCAGAAGAAGCACCGGCUAACUCCGUGCCAGCAGCCGCGGUAAUUC